UUGAAAUCUAAUCUUUGGCUUUUGCUUGCAAACCUUUUGCAGUUCCUAGGAGGAUGGAAGGAAUUCCUGGUGACUGCAAUUAUUGGAACAGUCACCUGACAGGGAGGACAUGGUGUUUUGAUGGGUUGGCUGACUUGUUGGAACAAAUAUAGACGUGAUAAUGUAGAAAAUAACAAAGCAAUUCCUCAAUUACUGCGUUAUUGAAGAUGUAUGUCAUCUGGUUUUUCGCCUAUUAAUCAAAGUGAAGGAAAUUGAGAAGAAAAUCGGUUGAAAUUGAGGAAGCUCUCUAGCAUAAAAAACCGAUGAGGUUUUGUGGCACUUAGUGCAUUACUUGAAGAAUUUUUUAUAAUUGUCAAAUGUGGUGCAGAAGAAGGAUCAUGGAUGUUGCCUGGAGGACCAUAAACAAACCAUUCUUGGGAGAUGGGAAACCCUCUUGCCAUUAAUGCCAGAACAGUUUGCAGAUAUUAGAAGAACUUGAAAAAUAAAGCUGAUACAGAUAAUUCCAUAUUGAAUUGGAGAGUUUAGACCCUCUUGAGAAGACAGUGAAUGUAGAACUUGGUGCCUCUUGGAUGGGAAGGCUGAUGUUUUCCUAAAAGAAGGUCGUUUUUUCAUGUGCUGCAAUGUUCGCCAUGUAUAAAGAGUUCGAAACAAUGAUGGAUGCCUAGCAUAGAUGUGAGGACGACAUCACCUUUCAGUUUUGGACCACCAGGUGUGCCAAUGGAUCUAAUGUAUUUUGAAGUUCCUGCAGUUCAUAAAUGGAAAACUUAUAAAACUAAUUUAAAUUUGCUGCAAAAUCAGUUUUAAAUGAUUAGAUUUAGAACCAUGUUUUAUAUUGAAAAUCUAUUUGGCUUAUAAUGAAAACAUUGAUUGGAAAAAAAAAUUUCAAGUUUCUAAGAUAAUAACAGUUAAUUAUGAUACAGGGUUUUUGUAUGGACUCGGACAGUUAUUUAUAACAUUACUGUUCCUUGUUUAAAAUAUGAAAUUAUUUCAGAAAA